rnacentral:rRNA from 1 species
UACAGAGGGUGCGAGCGUUGUCCGGAAUCACUGGGCGUAUAGGGCGCGUAGGCGGCGGGGGAAGUCCAUGGUGAAAGCUCGCGGCUCAACUGCGAGUCGGCCACGGAUACUCUUUCGCUCGAGCACUGUAGAGGCAGAUGGAAUUCCGGGUGUAGCGGUGGAAUGCGUAGAGAUCCGGAAGAACACCGGUGGCGAAGGCGGUCUGCUGGGCAGUAGCUGACGCUGAGGCGCGCCAGCGUGGGGAGCAAACAGG